UGUCUAUUUCCGGGUGAAAUCACAGCUCAGAAGUUCGGGUGUUUGUGGACUGUUGACAAAAUAGCGGUUACGUGUGGAAAGGGAGGGUGUACAAAGCAAACAGGGAAAAAAAAUCGAGCGAUCGCUUGUUUCUCUCAGCCUGCUGAAAGAAGCAGGAAGCGAACUAGAGCUGUUCACCUACACCGUUUCGAAUGAAAGACUGCAGUGGACAUUUGAAGGGGAAGAGAGCUCAGCUUUUGCCUUCUUACUGUGAUUGAAACCUGACCGGUAUUUGGAGUUCAAUCCGAGACGCGGACAGUUAACUUUUAACAUUUCGUUUCGGUGAAUUCUAUAGAACUGGCGUCGGACAUUCCAUUCCAGUUGGAAUAACGUGUUCUAAAGACAACAGCUGGUUGGACUCACGCCAUGGAGCUGUUCGAUCUACAUAAGUCUUCAGCGCUCUGACAGGGCAAAGUCUCAGAUCUCCUAACCCCGCCUCUGCAGGGGGUAAAGCCUCCAAGACCACUUGCUGAAAGUGAAAAGGGUUCGAGGCGACCUUAGGGACAUA
ensembl:lncRNA